AAACUACUCCCUCUGUCCCAAAUUUCUUGUCUUAGAUUUGUCUAGAUAUGGAUGUAUCGAAUACUAAAAUGUGACUUGAUACAUCCGUAUCUAGACAAAUCUAAUACAAGAAUUUUGGGACGGAGAGAGUAUUUU
rfam:Triticum aestivum genome assembly, contig: Triticum_aestivum_CS42_TGACv1_scaffold_625342_7DS